UUAGGCUUCCCCCUCCUCCUGC
rnacentral:miRNA from 1 species